AAUACUGAGCGGACUCUUUUUUUUCCAACCAUGUACAGAGAAUUUUUGACUUUGACUCAAUGGAGAGGCCUCAUGGAUACGACUUCAUGGAUGAAGGAGGAUUCAAUCUGGCAAAAGGAGAAGGAGGGGCUGCAACAUAUUUGGUCAUCAUGCCACUAAAGAAGCUCUUCACUAUACUAGCUAACAUUCCUGGAUGGUCUAUAGGAAGCUUUGCACUGACAUGAACUGAGAGGUGACAAUCAGGCAGAGCAUCCCAUUUAUGUUAUCAUUUGGAACAAUUUGAACUUUCACCAUUGUCCAAGAAUAUGUCAUUGAUUACAACAAUAACCAGCAGUUUAUGAAUGUUUGUCUUCCACCAUAUUUAAACCCUUGUGGAAUACUGGGGGUGUACGGCAUCCCAAACCUGGACACUGACAGGCACAGAGACACAAGUCCAAGUUUCUUCCAUCUCCACACAGGUUGUCCAGAUCUCAGUCAGAGUGACCAUCAGAUUUUUCAUCACCACUUGUACCAUGGCCUUUUCCAUUGACUGCUCAGUCUGGCUGUAUGGCCAGAAAUGGGAAGAGUCCAUUUAGGAAUCAAGAAGGACCUGGGGAACCUUCAGCGCUGGAUUGUGACUUGACAAAAUUCUGUCUCUAAGCUCUGCAGGCAAUUCCUGUGGGACCAUCUAUAGACAGACCAUUCCCGGGAAAUCCUGCAAGGUUCCGGCACCU